rnacentral:rRNA from 1 species
UGGCGGACGGGUGAGUAAUGCCUGGGAAACUGCCUGAUGGAGGGGGAUAACUACUGGAAACGGUAGCUAAUACCGCAUAACGUCGCAAGACCAAAGAGGGGGACCUUCGGGCCUCUUGCCAUCAGACGUGCCCAGAUGGGAUUAGCUAGUAGGUGGGGUAACGGCUCACCUAGGCGACGAUCCCUAGCUGGUCUGAGAGGAUGACCAGCCACACUGGAACUGAGACACGGUCCAGACUCCUACGGGAGGCAGCAUG